rnacentral:rRNA from 1 species
GAUGAACGCUGGCGGCGUGCCUAGUACAUGCAAGUCGAGCGAACAGACGAGGAGCUUGCUCCUCUGACGUUAGCGGCGGACGGGUGAGUAACACGUGGAUAACCUACCUAUAAGACUGGGAUAACUUCGGGAAACCGGAGCUAAUACCGGAUAAUAUAUUGAACCGCAUGGUUCAAUAGUGAAAGACGGUUUUGCUGUCACUUAUAGAUGGAUCCGCGCCGCAUUAGCUAGUUGGUAAGGUAACGGCUUACCAAGGCAACGAUGCGUAGCCGACCUGAGAGGGUGAUCGGCCACACUGGAACUGAGACACGGUCCAGACUCCUACGGGAGGCAGCAGUAGGGAAUCUUCCGCAAUGGGCGAAAGCCUGACGGAGCAACGCCGCGUGAGUGAUGAAGGUCUUCGGAUCGUAAAACUCUGUUAUUAGGGAAGAACAAAUGUGUAAGUAACUAUGCACGUCUUGACGGUACCUAAUCAGAAAGCCACGGCUAACUACGU